rnacentral:miRNA from 2 species
GUAAGGAUUAAGAUUAAAUGUU